rnacentral:tRNA from 4 species
GGGCGCUUAGCUCAGCGGGAGAGCGCUACGUUGACAUCGUAGAGGUCACUGGUUCAAUCCCAGUAGCGCCCACCA